rnacentral:rRNA from 1 species
CCUACGGGGGGCUGCAGUGGGGAAUAUUGGACAAUGGGGGCAACCCUGAUCCAGCCAUGCCGCGUGUGUGAAGAAGGCCCUCGGGUUGUAAAGCACUUUCAGUGAGGAAGAACGCCUGGUGGUUAAUACCCAGCAGGAAAGACAUCACUCACAGAAGAAGCACCGGCUAACUCCGUGCCAGCAGCCGCGGUAAUACGGAGGGUGCGAGCGUUAAUCGGAAUUACUGGGCGUAAAGCGCGCGUAGGUGGCUUGAUAAGCCGGUUGUGAAAGCCCCGGGCUCAACCUGGGAACGGCAUCCGGAACUGUCAAGCUAGAGUGCAGGAGAGGAAGGUAGAAUUCCCGGUGUAGCGGUGAAAUGCGUAGAGAUCGGGAGGAAUACCAGUGGCGAAGGCGGCCUUCUGGACUGACACUGACACUGAGGUGCGAAAGCGUGGGUAGCAAACAGGAUUAGAUACCCGAGUAGUC